AGCGAACGCUGGCGGCAGGCCUAACACAUGCAAGUCGAACGAACCUUUCGGGGUUAGUGGCGGACGGGUGAGUAACACGUGGGAACGUGCCUUUAGGUUCGGAAUAACUCAGGGAAACUUGUGCUAAUACCGAAUGUGCCCUUCGGGGGAAAGAUUUAUCGCCUUUAGAGCGGCCCGCGUCUGAUUAGCUAGUUGGUUGAGGUAAUGGCUCACCAAGGCGACGAUCAGUAGCUGGUCUGAGAGGAUGAUCAGCCACAUUGGGACUGAGACACGGCCCAAACUCCUACGGGAGGCAGCAGUGGGGAAUCUUGCGCAAUGGGCGAAAGCCUGACGCAGCCAUGCCGGGUGAAUGAUGAAGGUCUUAGGAUUGUAAAAUUCUUUAACCGGGGACGAUAAUGACGGUACCCGGAGAAGAAGCCCCGGCUAACUUCGUG
rnacentral:rRNA from 1 species